rnacentral:rRNA from 1 species
AGAGUUUGAUCCUGGCUCAGGACGAACGCUGGCGGCGUGCUUAACACAUGCAAGUCGAGCGAUGAAGCACCUUCGGGUGUGAAUUAGCGGCGAACGGGUGAGGAACACGUGAAGAAUCUGCCUUCAACUCUGGGAUAACUCCGGGAAACCGGGGCUAAUACCGGAUAUGAGCCUUGAUCGCAUGAUCGGGGCUGGAAAGUUUUUCGGUUGAAGAUGACUUCGCGGCCUAUCAGCUUGUUGGUGAGGUAAUGGCUCACCAAGGCGACGACGGGUAGCCGGCCUGAGAGGGCGACCGGCCACACUGGGACUGAGACACGGCCCAGACUCCUACGGGAGGCAGCAGUGGGGAAUAUUGGGCAAUGGAGGAAACUCUGACCCAGCGACGCCGCGUGAGGGAUGAAGGCCUUCGGGUUGUAAACCUCUUUCAGUAGGGAAGAAGCGAAAGUGACGGUACCUACAGAAGAAGCACCGGCUAACUAUGUGCCAGCAGCCGCGGUAAUACA